rnacentral:hammerhead_ribozyme from 1 species
AUCUAGCUGACGAGUCUCAAAUAGGACGAAAGGCGCAUCCUGGAU